GACCUACGGGUGAAAGCAGGGGACCUUCGGACCUUGCGCGAUUGAAUGAGCCGAUGUCGGAUUAGCUAGUUGGCGGGGUAAAGGCCCACCAAGGCGACGAUCCGUAGCUGGUCUGAGAGGAUGAUCAGCCACACUGGAACUGAGACACGGUCCAGACUCCUACGGGAGGCAGCAGUGGGGAAUAUUGGACAAUGGGCGCAAGCCUGAUCCAGCCAUACCGCGUGGGUGAAGAAGGCCUUCGGGUUGUAAAGCCCUUUUGUUGGGAAAGAAAUCCAGCUGGUUAAUACCCGGUUGGGAUGACGGUACCCAAAGAAUAAGCACCGGCUAACUUCGUGCCAGCAGCCGCGGUAAUACGAAGGGUGCAAGCGUUACUCGGAAUUACUGGGCGUAAAGCGUGCGUAGGUGGUCGUUUAAGUCCGUUGUGAAAGCCCUGGGCUCAACCUGGGAACUGCAGUGGAUACUGGGCGACUAGAAUGUGGUAGAGGGUAGCGGAAUUCCUGGUGU
rnacentral:rRNA from 1 species